rnacentral:rRNA from 1 species
GGNAGAACGCUGCGGCAGGCUUAACAUGCAAGUCGAGGGGCAGCGUAGAUUGCUUGCAAUCUGACGGCGACCGGCGAACGGGUGCGUAACGCGUAUAGAAUCUGCCUUGUACAGAGGGAUAGCCUUUAGAAAUGAAGAUUAAUACCUCAUGGUACUGAUUUCUGGCAUCGGGGAUUAGUUAAAGAUUUAUUGGUACAAGAUGACUAUGCGUCCUAUUAGCUAGAUGGUGAGGUAACGGCUUACCAUGGCUACGAUAGGUAGGGGGUCUGAGAGGAUUAUCCCCCACACUGGUACUGAGACACGGACCAGACUCCUACGGGAGGCAGCAGUGAGGAAUAUUGGACAAUGGGCGGAAGCCUGAUCCAGCCAUGCCGCGUGCAGGAAGACUGCCCUAUGGGUUGUAAACUGCUUUUAUACAGGAAGAAACUGUUCUACGUGUAGAACACUGACGGUACUGUAAGAAUAAGCACCGGCUAACUCCGUGCCAGCAGCCGCGGUAAUACGGAGGGUGCAAGCGUUAUCCGGAAUCAUUGGGUUUAAAGGGUCCGCAGGCGGUCAAUUAAGUCAGAGGUGAAAUCCCAUAGCUUAACUAUGGAACUGCCUUUGAUACUGGUUGACUUGAGUUGUACGGAAGUAGGUAGAAUGUGCAAUUGUAGCGCUUAAAUGCAUAGAUAUUACACAGAAUACCGAUUGCGAAGGCAGCCUACUACGAUAUACUGACGCUCAGGACGAAAGCGUGGGACGACA